rfam:Salmo salar isolate Sally breed double haploid chromosome ssa09, whole genome shotgun sequence.
CUCCCUGUGGCUCAGUUGGUAGAGCAUGGUGUUUGCAACGCCAGGAUUGUGGGUUCGAUUCCCAUGGGGGGC